rnacentral:rRNA from 1 species
GACGUAGGGUGCAAGCGUUGUCCGGAUUUAUUGGGCGUAAAGAGCUCGUAGGCGGCUUGUUGCGUCGACUGUGAAAACCCGCGGCUUAACCGCGGGCUUGCAGUUGAUACGGGCAGGCUAGAGUUCGGUAGGGGAGACUGGAAUUCCUGGUGUAGCGGUGAAAUGCGCAGAUAUCAGGAGGAACACCAAUGGCGAAGGCAGCUCGCUGGGACGGUACUGACGCUGAGACGCGAAAGCGUGGGGAGCAAACAGG